UUGAAGUUGGAGUUGUUCGUAACGCCGACAGUAACCGUACUCUUAAACAUUCCGUCUGGAAUUUUAUGCACUUUUAGACAAAAACAUCGAAAAAAGUUCCUGAGUUAGACAUUCUGAAUGCGUUUAACAAAAUAGACUCUGGUAACAGUAGUAGUGAGUUGUUACCGCAAAUAGACCAUAUACUAGUAUACUUUAGGCACUUAGGCUAUGUUUAGAAGAAAUUCUAUUUGUGGUCUUGUAGACCAAGACAUCUAUAGCCGUUUGUAGCCGUUUCAAGAUGCUUUAAGAGGUUUUGUGUUUCGUGGGAAAGGAGUAAACUUCUGCAACAUCCAUCUUCAGCCAUGACCCAAAUCGCGACUUUCAGGCCAGACCACACUGGCAAACCUUCCGAUUUGCAUGCUUGUUGGUUUCUCGUGUACUGCGAGAUGAACUCUUCGUCAAAAAAAAAAAAAAAAAAAACCUUGAAGUAGUCGACUUCUUUUUCAUCUAGUGCUAAUGUAGAACUGGAUGCUUUUCCAGAAUGAGGGGCUACAAGUAGAAACAAUGAGGGGGAAAAGUCCCUUUCGUCUCAGUCAGCGUCUUCACGCCGCACAUGGUUUUGAGAAGUUGCUUCUUGGUUGGUUUCCUAGUACGAACUGUUUAGAAGUAGUUCCUCGUUUGAAAAGCUGCCAUCCAAUGACUCUGAUUCUGAUUCGGCACUUGGGCAGUAUAGUCCACAUGGGAGGAAUCGCCACUGAACUCACUUGCAGCAUAGCAAUCGGCGCGCACGGCCAUAGCGUAAGCGAACUGUGUAUGUGAGCGCCUGCAAGAAAUCUCUAUGGUUGAGUGUCCUUCAAAAAAAAAAAAAAAAAAGACAAGUGAGAAACUUGUAGUAAUCCUUCGUCCCAUCGCCAAUGAGGGGACGCCAGAUGGUUUGUGAAGCCCAACAGAGACUUGACUUUAUCCGGCUUGGUGCUGAUGCCUAUUGCAAGAUAACCAUGCCCUAGGCAUGCGACUUCGGUUUGACGAAAAGAGCACUUGUAAUUGUUGAGGGUAACACCUGUGUCUUGCAAAUUCUUUAACACUCGCCGUAGAUUAGUAUCAUGUUCUCUAAUUGUCUUUCCUGAGGCGAUGUCGUCUUGCAGACACUUCACUCCGUCCACUCCUUCCACCACUUGGAGCAUCUCACGUCGGUACAACUCUGGUGCCGUGGAGGUUCCGAAGAGAAGUGUCAAGAACUGGAACCUCCCAACUAGUCUGAUGAAGGAUGUACACUUGCGAGAGUCCUUGGCCAAAGAAACAGUACCCUGCUCGCGCAUCUAGGAGGCUGAAAACUGUUGCACCUGCUAGUUUUGCCAUGCACUUGUCGACUGUAGGCUUAGGCGCAUAUUCACGAAUGAUAUCUGCUGAUUCAGCUGGCCAUAGUCAAUGCAGAUCUGGACCUUGUUGUUCUUUUACCGUGCAAUGACUAUUGGGAAAGAACAUUUUCUUGCUUGCUCUACCUUCUGGGUGACUCACAUCUCCUCCAACCUCUUUAGCUCUUUUAAAAGUGGUGGUAGUGGAAGUGGCAUGCACCUAGUGUAUAGGUGACUGCUUAGGGUUUGGCAUCGUUCUUGACUUUUAUGCAGUACACUGUCUUCAUGAGUCCAAGCCGGGACAUUAGCUUGGGGUAUGGAGCCAGAAGGUCAGAAACGUCAGUUGCUUUCUUGCAUGUUUCAACCAACUUGAGAGGGCGUUGCAGAAUGUCAAGUGACUCUAUGGCUGGCCGACUAAGCAGCACUUCUUUUAAUCCUUUGAUGUUAACAACUGUUUCGUGGAUUUUAGUGCCUCGCCAGGCAAUUGCUGCAUUGAUGUAGCCAACAGUGGUGAUCGCUGUCUGGCCUGGGCCUAUCAGAUGCUGUUUUGUUGCCUGGAUGGAUCAUGUGAUGUUAAAAUCAUACUGGUCGUGUGCAAUUGCAAUCACAUCCGUGCCAUUGUUGACUUUGAAGUUAAAGGUUAACUUGUUAAGAGUGACAGUUUUCUGCCAAGCUGUGGUUGACCCUGCUUUGAUUUAUCCUAAAUAUAGUUUGUCUAGGCCUUCUGUUCAUUCUUGAAAGCAUGAAGCCCUAUCGUUGGGCUUCAACAGACAGACAGAGAUACAUACGAACUGGCGCCAUCCUCAUCGUCAUUGUGGUGGAGGAGUGACGUGAACAGCACACCGGCCGCGUGUUGCAUACUGACUCUUUAAUAGACGUUCCACCAAUAUAUACAAGCACAGGGACACAGUGUUGCCCACCUAAACAUUGAAACCGAAACCAGGUAAAAUAUGUACAGGAGACAACACUGACCUAGUCUGUCAGCAUGUGUUGCUGUCCUGACCUUCACAAACACAUGGUGACCGGGUGUCCCACUGCUGUAGCUGGAUGACGAUGGGGUUGCCUGUCCAUGCCUCCGUUCGUAUGGGUUCCGGUGAUUGGCUGGGUAAGGCAAUCACUUGCCUUUUAUGAUGCAUGGUGCCACUGCUUGUUUGAAGAGUGUAGGACCUUGGUACUCAGGCAGUGUCUGCACUGAUCGCUGCGGGAAAAGUGUCUGCACUUUUCUCGCAGCUGUUCCUGGGAUUGUUUUUGUCACAUUUCUCUCGCUUGGGUAGCAGUUGCUGAAUGGUCUUCACCAAGACAACCAAUUUGGAAAGUGAUUCAGAAAUAGGUGCUUCUUUAGCUGCUCGUUCUUCCAUUAAAGUUAUUGAAGCCAGUGCAGAUGAUCACUGUUCGAAGGGGAAAGGUCCAAAAAGGAAACAACCUUGGUCUGCUCCAGCUCUUGGGAAUUAGUACAAACAGUUCACUGAAAACACCACUGAUCAAAGCCUCAGUUCACCGAGAACACCAUUAACUCAUCAAAACCUAGCCAACAAGGAUUCUUCACGACGUGGCUCGACCUAGUUUGUCGGCAUAUGUUUCUGAGGUGAGGUGCUUUUUUAGCUGCUCGUUCUCCCAUUGUAGUUGUUCAAGCUACUGCAGAUAUGAUCACUGUUCAAAGGAUAAAUGUCCAAAGAGGAAACGUCCUUGCUCUAUUCCAGCUUUUGGGAAUGAGUACAAACAGUUCACUGAAAACACCACUCACUCAUCAAAGCACCUGUUCACUGAGAACACCACUAACUCAUCAAAACCUAUCCAACAAGGCUUCUUCACGAUAUGGCUCGACCUAGUCUGUCGGCAUAUGUUUCUCAGGUGAGGUGCUGUUUUAGCUGCUCGUUCUCCCAUUCGAGUUGUUCAAGCCACUGCAGAUGAUCACUGUUCGAAGAGGAAAUGUCCAAAGAGGAAACAUGCUUGCUCUGCUCCAGCUUUUGAUUUUCAUCAGGUAUGGUAUUCUUCUCGUCCUCUGGUUCCACUGAAAUCACACCAUCGUGAACCAUAGGCUGUUCUGGUUCCAACGUGACACUGUCCCAGUCAUGACAAAAACGGCAAGUUACAUUUUUGGUAGGGCAUUCAGAAUGAAUCUGGAAUUCUCGGCCACAAUAUCUGCAUGACUUGAGUCUGGCCUCUGGCUUUCGGCUGGUGAUCGGCUUGCCUUGUUUUGGCUUUCUUCUGUUUUUGUCUGCGUCGCCGGCUGCAGGCUCUACUAGCACUUUCAGCUCGCUUUGUUGUUUCUUUACAGUCUCGCUAAUCCUACCCCUGGUGACUGCGGUUGCCAAAGUAAGCUUCGGGUCCAUUUGAAGAGCCUCUCCUCAUCCCGGAAGCCAACUACAAUCCUGUCGCGAACCAUGCACUCUUUCUUUGAAUUUGCAGCAGCUUACAAGCUCGUUAAGAGUGGUGACAAACUCGCCGACUAUUUUGCCUGUCUCUUGUUUGCGCUGGUUGAAGCGUGCGCUCUCAUAAACCACGUUCUUUGUAUGAACAAAGUGCACUUGAAACUUCUGUUUAACAGCAUCAAAACGUUCGAGCUCUUGUAGCAUAACGGUAAAAUUUUGCGUGCCUUCCGACCCAUGGUGUACAGCAACGUUCUUGCUUGUUUUUUGCCAUCCUUUUCCUGGAGGCUCAACGCGUAGCUGUAGUCUUCUAUCCAGGUGGGCCAGUCACUGGGGCUGGUGAAGUCGAAGAGGUCCGGCGGCUUGAGGCUAGCCAAAAUUAGCACGAUAAAGCUGCCACUUCUGAUACCAUGUCAGGUACUGAGGCAUGUGUGAGAAUGACUUUAUUGCAAAAUGGUGUCCUUAAAUAUACAGUGUCUGUCAUUCCCUGAGGCCCUCUACCGGGGAACACGGUAUAUUACAAUGAGCACAUAAAACACAUCGAGCUAUGCCCACCUAGAAGAAGACAUGCUCUUUUACUAGGUGGGCUCCUUCUCUUCAUCGCUCCUUGUUAGAGAAGGAGUGAUGAAAAAGCAACCCUUUCAGAAUUUACAAAAACUGAGCUUCUAGAAAUACACGGUAGAUGGCAGAACCACUUGGGAGUUCGCGAACUGCGUGUUAGUGCUCACAUCUGAGUGGAGAGAAAGUAUGGGUACAUCCUGUGACAUGGCGGGAGAGAAACAUGGAAAGGUAUGUCAUAGUCGAAAGGCCUUCUCUGCUCUGCGGCAAAGGCCCCACUGUGUUGAUUACCAGUCGUCGGAACGACUGAGAUCAGGGGAACCAACUUUAAAGGCGUUUUGCAUUUAUCUCCCGGCUUCUCAACUCGCCAACACGCAUCACACGAUCUUACAUAGUUCUCGACAUCCUUAAAACAUCCAGGCCAGUAAUAUUCUAACAAAAGCCUCUCUUUUGUUUUGUUGAUUCCUAGAUGACCCAACCAGCCAUUUCUGUGCCACAAAGUCAGAUCAGCUCGAUACCUGGUACAAUUAGCUGAUCAAGAAUCUGGCCUAUACAAUCUCUGUAGUGUCUGUACAGGACUCUUCUGUUUUCGUGGUUGGUUACAUUGCAUCUAGCGAUACCCUCUUUCUUGUCGAAGUGCAAACAUGUUAGACUCAGGCUUUCUUUUGCUCUGCACUGAGCAGCACUCUAUCUGCCUGCAAUAGCCUGUCAAAGCUCCUAGAGGCAAGUGACAGCACCGAGCCCUUUUCCACAGCUUUCAUUUCUACUGACGUUGUUUCUGUGUUACGCUAGUUUCCUUCGAGUAUUAUUUCAACUGGCACCUCCACUGUCGCACUGUUUGCUUUUCCCUCAAUUGGUCAUAAUCUCUAUUUUGGGAAGGGCUUCAUCGUGUCCUGCUACGUCUGAUCUCAGAUUCUUCAUUAGCUUAGCAGUAAUCUGGCGGGCUUGCGAGUGGGCUAAUGCAUAUUCUUCUCCGAACUCCUGACCGCACUUGUGCAACAAUUAAAUGAGCCAACAAAUGUCACUCGUGCUACCGGCAGGCACACACUAUGCUCUUCUAGUACUGCCUUAAUCCAAGUUACUUCCUCUGUAAAGUCUUCGGCUCAUACUAAACAAGGGUGAACUAGGACCAUGGUCCCUCUGCUAUCCCUAAUACCCUACAUGCUUUUCCGUUUACCUGCAUCUCCUGAAGAUAUGGACGAAGAAGCUCCAAACUUUCGUUGCUUCCACUACUGUAUGGAAGUACUACUGCCUUUUUCUUACAUUGCGAAGCAUAGUGCCCUAGUCCGUCACAAAUUUAACACCAUACGGGUUGUCUCUUCUCUAAUUAUUUCGUGAUUACCUUCACUGUCACUUCCUCCGUGGAGUGACUAGCGCAGUUAUCCGGGCUGUUUCUGGGGUCUUUUUCACAGAUUCGACCUGCUCGGUAGGCUUCACCU